CGUCCUCGUAGGGGUCGGGUUCCUCGUCCUCGGGCGGCGGGGGCCAGUCCGGGUCCUCGACGACGGCCGGGUCGUGUGCGGCGGGAGCGUC
rnacentral:tRNA from 1 species